rnacentral:lncRNA from 1 species
CCCCCCCCCCGCCCCGGGAAAGGAGUGUGCACGCGCUUCGGGUGCGUGAAGGUGGAGGGUGAGAAGGCUAGCACUCCUUGCGCUGGCCUCCGUCACGUUUCUAUCGGCUGUGGGGAAUUGGGAAGAAGAGCUUUGAGCCACUCGCUCUGCCAGGUAAUGUGGCUACGACACGGCCCGCUGUAGCGCCGGGCCUGAGUCUUAAAUCUGAGGUUAAUUCUGAACGAUGCUCCGGCUUGCGGCCCCCUUCGCCUGGCCCCGGCCGAACCACAGAGCCCUAUUCAGGCUUUGAGGGACUGAAGAGCUCAAGCGGCGCCCUUUGCCAAGUCCAUGCAUACCACCGCUUCCGCCAGACACUCGGGUCUCUGAGGCACCUACUCUGAGAGCUCCAAAGAGAGGGUGAGGCCAGUUCUCCCCUUUCCCAAGAAGAGUCUGAGACUGAAACCUUGAUGCUGAGAACACCUUUCCCCUUUCUGAUGCAAGCAGCUUGCAGAUUGUUAAUGCCGGAGCCUGAGGCAAGAAUGUCACAGACCUUUCCCAGGUGUUUGUUAAGGUUCUCCCAACAGGACAAUAAACUCAUCUGGAAGGCAGAGGGCCUGCCCAUUCAUAAACCUGUUGAUGUGGUCCCCAGAGUACCAGUUUAAGAUGAUAAGACCAACACUGUUGAUUCUGGGGCCAGAACUGGGACAAGUCCUUGAUCCGUCUACACUAGCUGUAUACACCAUCUACCUCCUGAGAGGAUUCAUUUUUCUUCCUAUUGUUAAAAAGGAGGAGUUGAGAAGAACUGGACCAAACAGCAGGUUGAGAGUACCCACAUCUGCCAAAGGGGCAGGGGGCUCAGAUGAAAUGAACAAAGUCAUGGCCCUCACGGGGUUCAGCUUCAUUGGAAAGACAGACCAGGAACCAACUCAUGACCACGGGGAGAGCACCAUGAGGGUAUGGACAUGCUGCAUGGACCCUAAAGGAGCAUGUUCUGAAAUUGACUUGAGCUGAGCUGAGCCGGGGCGAAGGGGAGGCAGCCAAGGCAGACAUCUGAGAGGAGGUGCUGGCCCUGCAGCCACCUUUUAAAACACGGUGUAAAACAUGGCUGUGUGUGCGGUGUGUGGAAGCAGGAAAGCGGGUGAGGUCAUGUCCGGGGCCGGAGCACAGUGUGCCUCAAGAGAGAGACCAGACAUCCCGUAAGAGGCAGAGAAGGCCCAUCGCUUUAAAAGCCUCAAGCGCAAUGCCAAGGAAUUCUAUCUUUAUUCUAAAACAAAUGGGCAGUCAUUAAAGGAUACUAAGCAGAAAAAUGCAUUGACUAGACAUGCAUGUUGGAAAAUGUACUUUGAUCAAAUUUGGUGUUGUUUAUGGUCAUUUCUAUAAAGUAUUUGGCAUUGGAAACUUAGUCAGGAACUUCACCCCCUAAUAGGACCAUUCUAAUUUCUUUAUAUUUCCUCUGAAAUUGACACCCGAAAUAAAGCUGACUUCCUAUGGAACUCUAUGCAUUUUCUGACUUUCCUUCCCUGGGCCACUCUGCUCCUUGGGGCCUCCUUUUGAAUCCAAGAAAUCAAUAUAAAAGUAAUUGAAUAUAAAUAAUCUAUCCACUUCUUUCCAUUCAUUUAUUUCUCAAGGCUAGUUUUUACAUGACUCUAUAUAGAAAAAAAAAUGUGACAAGGGACCGUCACUGUGUGCUUUAAAUGCAGACGAUAACUAAUGUUGAAGACAAUGAAAAAUAAGCCCAAAUUUCUAGUCUGUUAUAGGACACUGAUUGUAUUAGUCCAUGCAGAGGAAAUUUAGAAUCAAAACCAGUUAUAAAAAACAAACAUUAAAAACAGUUUGGGAGUUACCUUGCAGUGCAGUGAAUUAAGAAUCUGCUGUUGUCACUGCCACAGCUCAGGUCACUGCUGUGGCCUGGGUCCCAUCCCUGGCCUAGUAACUUCCACAUGCCAUGGGCAUGGCAAAAAAAAAAAAAAAAAAA